UUCCGGUUGAUCCUGCCGGACCUGACUGCUAUCGGAUUGAUACUAAGCCAUGCGAGUCUUUGUAGCAAUACAAGGCAGACGGCUCAGUAACACGUAGUCAAUCUACCCUAUGGACGGGGAUAACCUCGGGAAACUGAGAAUAAUACCCGAUAGAUCAUUAUGCCUGGAAUGGUUUAUGGUUAAAAUGAUUUUUCGCCGUAGGAUGGGACUGCGGUCUAUCAGCUUGUUGGUGAGGUAAUGGCUCACCAAGGCUAUAACAGAUACGGGCUCUGAGAGGAGAAGCCCGGAGAUGGGUACUGAGACACGGACCCAGGCCCUAUGGGGCGCAGCAGGCGAGAAAACUUUGCAAUGUGCGAAAGCACGACAAGGUUAAUCCGAGUGUUUUCUGCUAAAGAAAUCUUUUGUUAGUUUUAAAACCACUAUCGAAUAAGGGGUGGGCAAGUUCUGGUGUCAGCCGCCGCGGUAAAACCAGCACCUCAAGUGGUCAGGAUGAUUAUUGGGCCUAAAGCAUCCGUAGCCGGCUAUGUUAGUUUUCGGUUAAAUCCAUGUGCUCAACACAUGGGCUGUCGAGAAUACUGCUUAGCUAGGGAGUGGGAGAGGUAGACGGUACUCGGUAGGAAGGGGUAAAAUCCUUUGAUCUAUCGAUGACCACCAGUGGCGAAGGCGGUCUACCAGAACACGUCCGACGGUGAGGGAUGAAAGCUGGGGGAGCAAACCGGAUUAGAUACCCGGGUAGUCCCAGCUGUAAACUAUGCAAACUCAGUGAUGCAUUGGCUUGUGGCCAGUGCAGUGCCGCAGAGAAGUCGUUAAGUUUGCCGCCUGGGAAGUACGUACGCAAGUAUGAAACUUAAAGGAAUUGGCGGGGGAGCACCACAAGGGGUGAAGCCUGCGGUUCAAUUGGAUUCAACGCCGGAA
rnacentral:rRNA from 1 species